rnacentral:rRNA from 1 species
ACGGGUGAGUAAUGUCUGGGGAUCUGCCCGAUAGAGGGGGAUAACCACUGGAAACGGUGGCUAAUACCGCAUAACGUCGCAAGACCAAAGAGGGGGACCUUCGGGCCUCUCACUAUCGGAUGAACCCAGAUGGGAUUAGCUAGUAGGCGGGGUAACGGCCCACCUAGGCGACGAUCCCUAGCUGGUCUGAGAGGAUGACCAGCCACACUGGAACUGAGACACGGUCCAGACUCCUACGGGAGGCAGCAGUGGGGAAUAUUGCACAAUGGGCGCAAGCCUGAUGCAGCCAUGCCGCGUGUAUGAAGAAGGCCUUCGGGUUGUAAAGUACUUUCAGCGGGGAGGAAGGCGAUGUGGUUAAUAACCGCAUUGAUUGACGUUACCCGCAGAAGAAGCACCGGCUAACUCCGUGCCAGCAGCCGCGGUAAUACGGUGGGUGCAAGCGUUAAUCGGAAUUACUGGGCGUAAAGCGCACGCAGGCGGUCUGUUAAGUCAGAUGUGAAAUCCCCGGGCUUAACCUGGGAACUGCAUUUGAAACUGGCAGGCUUGAGUCUCGUAGAGGGGGGUAGAAUUCCAGGUGUAGC